UACGUAGGGUGCGAGCGUUAAUCGGAAUUACUGGGCGUAAAGCGUGCGCAGGCGGUUCGUUGUGUCCGUCGUGAAAGCCCCGGGCUUAACCUGGGAAUUGCGCUUGAAACUAGGCUGCUUGAGUGUGGCAGAGGGGGGUGGAAUUCCGCGUGUAGCAGUGAAAUGCGUAGAGAUGCGGAGGAACACCGAUGGCGAAGGCAGCCCCCCUGGGCCAAUACUGACGCUCAGGCACGAAAAGCGUGGGGGAGCAAACAGG
rnacentral:rRNA from 1 species